rnacentral:lncRNA from 1 species
CUUGAGAGAGGUCAGCGUGAGCCCCUUGCCUCACACCGGCCCCUCCCACGCUGAGAGAGGUCAGUGUGAGCCCUUGCCUCACACCGGCCCCUCCCACGCGGACAGAGGUCAGCGUGAGCCCCUUGCCUCACACCGGCCCCUCCCACGCUGAGAGAGGUCAGUGUGAGCCCUUGCCUCACCCCGGCCCCUCCCACGUGGACAGAGGUCAGCGUGAGCCCCUUGUCUCACACCGGCCCCUCCCACGCUGAGAGAGGUCAGUGUGAGCCCUUGCCUCACACCGGCCCCUCCCACGCGGACAGAGGUCAGCGUGAGCCCCUUGCCUCACACCGGCCCCUCCCACGCGGACAGAGGUCAGCCCGAGCCCCUUGCCUCACACCGGCCCCUCCCACGCUGAGAGAGGUCAGCGUGAGCCCCUUGUCUCACACCGGCCCCUCCCACGCUGAGAGAGGUCAGCCCGAGCCCCUUGCCUCACACCGGCCCCUCCCACGCUGAGAGAGGUCGGUGUGAGCCCUUGCCUCACACCGGCCCCUCCCACGCGGACAGAGGUCAGCGUGAGCCCCUUGCCUCACCCCGGCCCCUCCCACGCUGAGAGAGGUCAGUGUGAGCCCUUGCCUCACACCGGCCCCUCCCACGCGGACAGAGGUCAGCGUGA